CCCCGGUAAACGGCGGCCGUAACUAUAACGGUCCUAAGGUAGCGAAAUUCCUUGUCGGGUAAGUUCCGACCUGCACGAAUGGCGUAAUGAUGGCCAGGCUGUCUCCACCCGAGACUCAGUGAAAUUGAACUCGCUGUGAAGAUGCAGUGUACCCGCGGCAAGACGGAAAGACCCCGUGAACCUUUACUAUAGCUUGACACUGAACAUUGAGCCUUGAUGUGUAGGAUAGGUGGGAGGCUUUGAAGUGUGGACGCCAGUCUGCAUGGAGCCGACCUUGAAAUACCACCCUUUAAUGUUUGAUGUUCUAACGUGGACCCGUAAUCCGGGUUGCGGACAGUGUCUGGUGGGUAGUUUGACUGGGGCGGUCUCCUCCUAAAGAGUAACGGAGGAGCACGAAGGUUGGCUAAUCCUGGUCGGACAUCAGGAGGUUAGUGCAAUGGCAUAAGCCAGCUUGACUGCGAGCGUGACGGCGCGAGCAGGUGCGAAAGCAGGUCAUAGUGAUCCGGUGGUUCUGAAUGGAAGGGCCAUCGCUCAACGGAUAAAAGGUACUCCGGGGAUAACAGGCUGAUACCGCCCAAGAGUUCAUAUCGACGGCGGUGUUUGGCACCUCGAUGUCGGCUCAUCACAUCCUGGGGCUGAAGUAGGUCCCAAGGGUAUGGCUGUUCGCCAUUUA
rnacentral:rRNA from 1 species